CUCAGGGAGGUAGUGACAAGAAAUAACAACACUGGAAAUUUUAUUUCUAGUGAUUGGAAUGAUGGGAAUUUAAACCCCUUUCAGAGUAACAAUUGGAGGGCAAGUCUGGUGCCAGCAGCCGCGGUAAUUCCAGCUCCAAUAGCGUAUAUUAAAGUUGUUGCAGUUAAAAAGCUCGUAGUUGGAUGUCUGCUGGAAGCAAUCAGUCCGCCCUAUUUGUAGGGUGUGCACUUGAUGAAUUCUGGCAUCUAUGUCCCAAUGUGAUAUACGCGAUGGUGUUAUUAAUAUAUAGGUUAAUCCUGUAUAUUAUAUACCCAUUUGUGUAAUAUUGGGAUAAUACCGUUACUUUGAGAAAAUUAGAGUGUUUGAAGCAGGCUAAUUGCCUUGAAUACUGCAGCAUGGAAUAACAAUAUAGGAUUUCGGUUCUAUUUUGUUGGUUUCUAGGACUGAAAUAAUGAUUAAUAGGGACAGUUGGGGGCAUUCGUAUUUAACUGUCAGAGGUGAAAUUCUUAGAUUUGUUAAAGACGAACUACUGCGAAAGCAUUUGCCAAAGAUGUUUUCAUUAAUCAAGAACGAAAGUUAGGGGCUCGAAGGCGAUCAGAUACCGUCGUAGUCUUAACCAUAAACUAUGCCGACUAGAGAUAGGAAACUGUCAUUUUUCUGACUU
rnacentral:rRNA from 1 species